rnacentral:misc_RNA from 1 species
CCGUGGGGGCCUCGCGGCCCCUACCGAGAUAGCACCCUUUGUCUUUUUAAAGCACCCACUGUUUCUCCUCGGCGGGUGACGCCCGCCAACGGGGACCAACCAAAACCUUAACCCGUAGUAUUAGAAGUAAAACCGUACCAAAAAACAAAAAAUCA